AGAGUUUGAUCCUGGCUCAGAUUGAACGCUGGCGGCAUGCCUUACACAUGCAAGUCGAACGGCAGCAUGGGUGCUUGCACCUGAUGGCGAGUGGCGAACGGGUGAGUAAUGCAUCGGAACGUGCCCUGAAGUGGGGGAUAACGUAGCGAAAGUUACGCUAAUACCGCAUAUUCUGUGAGCAGGAAAGAGGGGGAUCGCAAGACCUCUUGCUUUGGGAGCGGCCGAUGUCGGAUUAGGUAGUUGGUGGGGUAACGGCCCACCAAGUCUACGAUCGGUAGCCGAACUGAGAGGUUGAUCGGCCACAUUGGGACUGAGACACGGCCCAGACUCCUACGGGAGGCAGCAGUGGGGAAUAUUGGGCAAUGGGCGAAAGCCUGACCCAGCAACGCCGCGUGAAGG
rnacentral:rRNA from 1 species